rnacentral:rRNA from 1 species
CCCUUAGAUGUUCUGGGCCGCACGCGCGCUACACUGAUGCAUUCAACGAGUCUAAAACCUGCUCUGAUAGGGGUGGGUAAUCUUUUGAAUGUGCAUCGUGAUUGGGAUAGAUGAUUGCAAUUUUUCAUCUUCAACGAGGAAUGCCUAGUAAACGCAAGUCAUCAGCGUGCAUUGAUUACGUCCCUGCCCUUUGUACACACCGCCCGUCGCUCCUACCGAUUGAAUGAUCCGAUGAAUAUCAUGGAUUGAGGAUUAUAGCAGGUUCGCCUGUCUUGAUCUUCGAGAAGUGAAGUAAAUCUUAUCAUUUAGAGGAAGGAGAAGUCGUAACA